GGGAUGGUUAGUGAAGAAGAGAAAGGAAAGGAAAAUGUGUUGCAGUUUAUUUAAGUGAUGGGGAUUGGAGUAGGGUGGGGAUAUUGAAGAGUUAUCUGUCAUCAACGGGGGAAGACCAGAUUGUCACGGAAAAAUUUGUGUACAGGGUCUAAAUUCCAUCCAACUAAGUGACAUUGUGGUGUCUAGUGUUUCUGAGGCAGGACUUCUGUAAUACUUGUGGAACUUUGGUCCAUCCGCGUCUUUCACGAGGGCCGCUAGGACCUCGGCCUUCUGGAGGAAUGGACGAUGGAGCUCCCAGUCCAUGUUAAGGCAUUUCAACACAACAUCUACAGGUACAAACAUACCUUCUGUAUACUGACCAGUGAUGAUGUUGACCAGGCUGUUGUUAUAGUUCAUGUGGACGGCUUUUAUCGCCUGGGAACUUCCCAAGAGGUCACUCCCCAAAGACUCCGGGAGUCUCCAACGAUUCGUGCUACCAACCAUUUUCCUCACUCGACAUCUGGGUGUGACCGGGUGCUGAAAGAAAAAGGUUUAAUAUAAAGAUAAUAUUUAAAGCAAAAUAUACACCAUCUACCGAUAAUAACCUUCACACUCUGUGGACAAAGAUAUAUGUACAAGGAAAAACGGUCAAGUCUCCUGAAUAAUAUAUUGUGAUCUGAUCAUCAGAGAGGGAUGAAGCACUGAUACUCAUUAGCAUGAUCUCCGAGACUCAGGACCUAUGAGACUGGCUGGAUCUCCGCUACUCUGUGGACCAAUUCAAAGGACUGUUAACUGAUACACCUUAGGAUAAUUGGGAAUAGUGUCUAAAGGAUGCUUCAGUACCAAUUUAAGCAAUAAGAGAUGUACUUUACUGUAAUUUUAUUGAAACAGGCUGACAUGCAUGCAUCGAGGAAAUUCGAAAUCCUGAAAACGUUUUCGACACACGUACACACAACUUAAGGUUUAUAACUGGGCAACCUGGUGUUAGUAAUUAGCAAAUUAAAUCAGUACCUGCAGU
rnacentral:sRNA from 1 species